rnacentral:rRNA from 1 species
UACGGAGGGUGCAAGCGUUAUCCGGAUUUGUUGGGUUUAAAGGGUCCGUAGGCGGAUCUGUAAGUCAGUGGUGAAAUCUCACAGCUUAACUGUGAAACUGCCAUUGAUACUGCAGGUCUUGAGUGUUAUUGAAGUAGCUGGAAUAAGUAGUGUAGCGGUGAAAUGCAUAGAUAUUACUUAGAACACCAAUUGCGAAGGCAGGUUACUAAGCAACAACUGACGCUGAUGGACGAAAGCGUGGGGAGCGAACAGG